rnacentral:lncRNA from 1 species
UUUAAUUACAAAAUAAAAAAUAGGAAGAAAAUACGAAAAAAAAAAAGAAUAACACGUUAAGUAUGUACAGAAAGAUUUGUUUCUUUUUUGUUUGCGGUCGUGUGUGUGCGUGUGUUGUUGUUUUCAGGAACCUGAGUUUAAAAGACAAUUUCGUUUUUUUUUUUUUUCUGUUCCGUACACAGUGAGAUUUUUUAUAUGGAGCUGACCUUUUUUUUUUCUCUCACCUUCAUUUCUUUUAUCGAAAACUGGGAACGUUUUUUAAUUUGAUUUUUAUUAUUAGUUAUCAUUUCUAAUAUUUAAAAAUGAAAUUCAAAUUCAGAUCCCCGUUUCCCUUCUCUGUCCUACCUACUACUCCGCCCUAUUCUAUUUCUACUCAGAAAUUCAAGUAUCGUGUGUGCCCCCCCCCCUCCGCCCGCUUAUUGUAUCUUUAUAUUUACAUGGUUACGUUUUAUUAUAAUUUUUUCCCCCUCCUUUUGCUGGCUCAGUGAACGUGUUAUUUCUCUAUUCUCUUACACGUAUAUUAAUAAGCUCAUUUACCCUUUCCCUCUUCAUCUUCUUGUUUUGUUUAAUUGUUUUUUUUAUUAUGAUUAAUUAAUUCAUUCAUUUCAAAAAUAAUUCACGCUGACUCCGCCCCUGUCUCCCAAUUCUCCGCCAUGCACAUCUCUUUUAUCUCGGAAAUUUUUGACGUCUCGACUUGUGUGUGUGUGUGUGUGUUUUUCUUUAACGAUUAUUAUAAUUAUUACCAACGAUUUUUAUUUUUUUGGACAUCCAAAACGUUGCGACAAAAAAAUCCCCCUCCGCUCCAUCACGUGUUACGUAAAAGUAAAACGAAAUUUAUCGGUCGUGAAAAAUUUUGUUUCUGUGUCUCUUUCUAUCCAAAUUCUCCCGGGACGAUUUUUCACACGCACAUAACGUACACACCUCACUCUUGUCUCGGACUUUCGGGAGAACAUUUUGCAAUUGAGAGAUGACGACGCGAUAUGACGUCGAUUUUUUGUUUUUUGACGCAAAAAAUUUUCCUUUUUUUUUUUUUAUUUUAAAGAAACAAAUCUCUUUCUUGAAUCUCUCUCUAUCUUGUCUUAUCCCUCACACGCGCGCCAUUUUUUUUUUUUUUACGUUUGUUGUUGUUUCGGUGUCGACACUUGUAGUAAUUCUUUCUUUCUCUCUCUCUCUCUCUCUACUUCUUAACUGCCCUUUUUUUUCCGUAUAUUUUUUUUUCUUUUUUUAGUUUGAAUUUUUUUAUCUUUCGAGACAAAAAAAAAAAUAUAUAAACAAUGUGGGAAAAUGAUCAUUUCUUGUUUCCGUGCACCACGCAUAUAAACACACAUGUAAAAAGAAAAAGCACAAAACUCGUUUAACUGGUACCGGCACGCACUCACAUCCGUUCUUGUAGAGAGAAAAAAAGAAGGAAACGGGCUUCUUAUUUGUUUGAGAGACCAUUUUCUGUUCCUUUGAAGCGCAUACAAUAGAUGCCGUUCAAAAAAUAAGAAACUAGUUUACUCUAUACGUAUAGUGUGGUCGGUAAUUGAACGCAUUCAACGUUGAUGCACUGCCGAGACAAGCGGACAGCUUGUACACUUUCCUCUCUUUUAAAAAGAAAACCUAUUAACAGUAGUUCGUAGGCACCAACAACAGCCAAUAGUUGUGCCAUUGAACGACCGUCAUCUUGCCACUAAUUGCCGCCCUUGUUAUUAUUGGACUAUACGAAUGGAGUGCGUUACGUAUAUAUACGGAACAAGACGUAAUGCUCGAUUUGCAGUCCGUGUAAAGCGCAGCCUUGUAUACAUAAAAAAGAACGGAGUCGUGAUGGUAAAUCCUGUUCUGUGUAUUUCCGAUCGAACCACACCGAUGGCCUUCGAAGCAGAAAUUUAUGGCACAAAAGAAGAAGGAGUUGGAUAUGCGGCCGUGUGUCUACCCGAGGGCCAAUAUAACUGAACAUUUGAACAAGAAAGAAAAAGACUAUUGGAUUAAAAACAAGAUGCGGUAGGAUGAAAAGAAAAAAGGAAAACAGUAAGACAGCUGUGCCCAAGAAAACUAUAUUAAAACGCCAACUGCUAGACGACUGCUGAUGUUCCAAACGACAUGUCUUCCGAUACAAUCUCUACUGCUGCGCUUGUGCUACUUAAGUUCUAUCGGCAAUAUUAAUGCAUCAGAAGCAGUUAAAGUACGGACCGUUUGGUGCGCAUACUGGAAACAUUCCCAGCGAAUCAAAAAAUAUCUCCGAGUGUGAUGGUUGGAUGAAGGCAUCACGCAGAUGAUGUAAGAGAGCAAGCGCAAAAUAAAACAAAACAAAAAAGGAAAGAACCUUUUUCUUUUUCUUUUGUUUUUUUUUCUUCGCUUGUUUAUGCAGCAUCUACUGUAUGCAAGGCAUACACGUACCGUGUGUUAUAUAGCAAAGCUUUUAGCUGGCCGGAGAAAAGAAGACGGGCGGAAUCAGCUGUAUAGCAUAAGAAAUGUGUGUUCCGGGCCUUUUUCCCGUCACAUCUACAGAGCUAGACACAGAGUAUUAUGAAAUAUGCAUGCGAAACUCGUCUAGGGAAUGGAACUAUAUGACCCAUAGACUAAAGGAGGAAGGGGAGCAAUAUACCAUGCUACGUGAGAGAGAGCAAAGCAAAGGAUUUCCAUAUUCAAUGUAAUCAAACCGAUCGGCUCUGGAAAAAGAAAAGAAAAAAGAUGGAAGGGACGCCUGCGCUGUGUGAGGUGCUGAUGGGAUGCAGGUCUAGAAGAAACAAGAAAAAACAAGGAACGGGUCUCAGAUGCUGGGCAAAAAGUCAGAAAACUAACACAAGGCAAAAAAGAGAAGAAAAAAAAAAGAAAAAAGAUUUGUACUCUUGCUCACGCUCUCAAGAGGAUUGUGGAUGAAGACGGAGAACGAAGAGAUUUCUCGUUUCUCAACGGCCGUCGUAAAUUUUUGGCACGACGACGACAUGAUCCCUCCGCUUUUUUUUUUUGUUGGGUUGCCCUCCAGCCAAAGCGUAAGGCUAAACGAGGAUUUUUCCUUUCGAUUAUAAAUCUCUUUGAAACUGAUGACGGUGUCGCGCUCCAGUUGAUCUGAGACUUGGCUCCGCUUAAAUUUAAUUAUUAUUUAGAUAUAAAUAGAGAUUGAGUGCUAGUAAUAAUAGUAUACUAUAGUAUUACUGCAGUAGUUUCAGUUUGAAAUGGCUCAGUUGUGUGCAGUUUGUUUGAAUUGUGGCACAUUAAAACACAACGUCGUCCGGGAUGGGGUUUAACUCUCCUGACGUUAGAUGGCAUCACUCUACCGCGAUCCAAUCAAAAAAAUUUUUUUUUUUUUUUUUUUUCUCCCUGUAAAUAAUAAAAAAAAAGUAUUUUCAUUAUUUUUCUAUCCUCUUCUCUCCGAUUGGAAUGCUUGAUUAAAGCGUGUGCCAGCGUGACCCCCCGCACAGCCAACGCACCAGGACCUUAAUCGAAAAUGAAUGCGUUCGCGAUCCAUUGACCCUCAUUGUGUUUCCACUGCGCCGUGCCAGAUGAGAACAUUUCUCUCCGUUUGUUCAGUUUUCAUCUAGUCCCCGAGUUUAUAAAUUUCUAAACGGCGCAUGUUCCAAAACACGAUCAAUGUAAUGGGACUAACAACAAUUCUCACUUGCCCGUCAACGAGAUUAAUCACAAACUUUCCGUUUCAGAUGAUCAACUCAAUCAUCUUUUAUCGUCUUUUUACUAACAAUCAACCCUUGCCAUACCGAGAAACAUACUACGCUCUUAUGUUACACAGUUUGUUUAGUUUUCCGUCUUGUGUUAGUAUGUGGGGGAGGGCGGAGUGAGUUAAGGGAUGACAGAAGAACCACACGGACGUGAACAACUUGGAAUAGAAAGAAAAGAAGAAGAAGAAGAAGAAACGGAGUCUGACAGCAGAGAGCAAAUGAAUUAUUUCAAAACGUUGGUCCGGAUGAGUUCUGGCGCCCCGCUUAUCCGCAAGGAAGGAGCUCCUCAUUUCUGCCAGUUUCCUGCACCAGAAUGCAAUGCACGCCCCACCGACGACGACAACCGGUACAUAUGAUGGUACACAUAUAUACCGCCAUGAACUAUGCGUCGUUUUUAUUUUUUCUUCAGUCUCUUUCUAUCCAGCCAGCCAUGGAUGGAUAUGCUUGGCUCCUCGCGUCUCUCCUACACGUAUAUAUACUACUGUGCCGUAGAUCUAUUCCGGCCCAUUGAAUUACACCAGUUCAAGUCGAAGAAAAAGAGGAAAGAAAAAAACUAGAAGUCAGCGUCCAAUUUUAGCUUUUUGCUCGAAUGCCGUUGGCUCCUGUUCCAUCUCCUCCCACAAUUCCCCCUCGACAUAGUAUAUAUACAGCGCGCCAGACAUAAGAUAUAUAGCAGAACAUGGAAGAAGAAACGAUCGAUAAUGUUACAUGCCCGCCAUGUUGUUUUUAGAAGACGAAGAAGAAGAAGAAGAAAAAAAAAAAGCGGAAAAGUCAGGAAGAUCUUGCCAAAGGCCAAUGUUCUUACUGAUAGAAGGAAAACAGGCUCGGCGGACUUGUGUCUGUAAUAGAGGGCACUUGGUUAUAUACAUAUAAACCUUAUAGUGUAGUUUGGUACUAGUAUAUAUAGCCUACUUUUAGUCUAUGACGACGUAUAUGUCCCCCCCCCCCUCUUGUUAUUAUGUAUCAUGUUCUUCCCUUUUUUUUUUAAAGAACCAAUCCAAAAACUAUGAUAACUAUCAAUAUAUUCCGCUGGGAGAUUUUGAUGCUGUGUAAUCCACACUGUUGCAAGCUGCCAUUAUUAUUAGUAUCAUGAUUAUUAUUGUUAUUAUUAUUACCAACCUUCCGAAAAGGUGUUGACUGUUGACUUUAGGAGAAAGAGAGGAGCCAUAAAUGAAAAAGAAAAAAGAGAUGAAGUAAACCGCGCGCCAUAUAGUUUGGGUGAUGAUUCAUUAUACGAUCCAUCAUAAAUGGGGAGGAACUUUUGGAAUGGGCCAUGAUUCGUCACUGGGCAACCUCUUCGUUCCCCUUUCAAGCUGGCCAUCCAGCUUCUGGGUAUAUCUGUAAAGCUUAUACGUAAAAAACAACCGACACACCAAAUGAUUACUAAAUCAGGAUAGCAAAAAUAUUUAAUUGAUCAUUUCACAAGUCGUUAUCCAUCACUUUUGAUGGCCGUCGUCCGUCGCGUGCCACUAUAAUACCCACACAGACCGGACCAGGGCACGUAAAGUAUUAUACGUAAGAUGUUUCUUUUUUUUUUUAAGUUUUUCUAUGUGCGCCGUAUAUUUUAUUAACGAGCAGCCAUUCGAAUUGCGUUAUAUAGGCUAUGUAUAGCACGAGCCCCAGACUUUGUAUGUAUGUGCGCGCUUUUAAUCUUUUAUUUUAUUUGAAGAUUUAAUUUUAUUUUAUAGUUUCAACAAAUUUCUGAUUGUCGGGGACGCCGCCGCCCCCCGGUUGUUCCCCACUUUUUUUUAAAAAAGGUUCAAUGUUGUGAUUUUCAACACCAUCAAGAACGAGCAUAAAAAUAAAAGUGAUGGAGGCAGGUGAGAGAGCAACAGGGUUUUGCCCUUCCAUCAAAGCAAGAGAGUAGGUCAGUUCUAUUAUCUAUAUAUUUUUUACUUUGCUUUUAUUUUAUACGAGCUUCACGCGUAGACCGAAACGAUGGGGGUGGAGUUGAAGGGUUGAGGAGGGACAGGCAGAAUGGCCCUAAAGUUUAAAUACCUGUUUCUUUCCAUUUUUAUGAGCCAAUCAUUUAUUACAUGGGACUAUACAGUCGCCGCCGCUUCGAUCAGCACGCGAAGAAAGUACGCGGGACCGUUUGAGUAUUAAAGCGGAAAGAAGAACUGCACACUAGACACUACCCAAUUAAAGGACGGAUCUGUGGGCCUGCAUGAGCAGCCAUUGAUUGAGAAGAAAAAACGACGCCGUUAAAGUGGGUCCGUGAACAGCGACAAUUGCUCGUCGGAUGGUGUUUUAUCUUCGCUUGACAAGUGGCCAUUGGCGAUAUUCUUAUACAUAUGAAUUAAGAUAGCAAGUAUCGGCAACUUAUGGCGUUUUGAAUGUUCUAUCCCAAUGGCGCAUUUCAAAGGGCGGGCGUUGGAAGCUUCCUCCGACCGCCAUCAAGGGAGGAGGAGUCAAGAACCAAGGUUUUAAAGUCCACACCCCCUACUCUAGGAUAUCGAUAUGUCGGCUUCAAAUCGAUUCCUUUGUCUGUAUUGUAAUGGCGUCAAGUUCAAAAGACGCUGGAUAGGGCAGUGAUUUGAAGGAAUGUCGCUGACGACGUCCAACCUUUCGAGAUUUGUUGUCAACUGAUGUUGCAAGAAAAUUUAUCUAAUCAAUCGUCAUCCGAAAAUCAACCGGCUUAUCGAGUCGUUCCAAAAAAAAUACCUCAUACGCCAUCUAGCGUUGGUUAUACAACUCCUUUAUUUGCUGGAAUACGUAUUGAACGGUAAAUCAAAUAACGAAUAAUGCAAGUCGUUAGACAAAAUAUUGCAGAUUAUCUUUAACAUUAUAGAUAAUACAUCUUUUUAAGAUUUUUACUUCGUAGUCUGUGGUCUGGGCUAGGAACAACAAUGCUGAAAUAAUUAAGAUUCUUCUCGAAGAUGAGGAAUUACGGUGAUGACAUUUUUCAGCGUGGACUAAAGACUGCAGAACAAGUGCAUUUGUUUUCUUUUUUUUUUUUAGGGGAGUUCUGCUUAAAUGGAUGAAUCAUCAGGUGAAACGUGAAAUAAGUCUAGAAGCUGCCUAGAAAAACUGGAAACAGACAGUUUUGUUAACAGGUUAUGCAACCUGCAUAGAAAUGUACUGACAACACAUUCUCAGUUGUCCUGUGAAAAUCAAAGUUAAACUCAGCUUGACCCUUGCCAAUCAUUCUGAAGCACUAUUCCCAUUGGAUCUAUUUGAUGAUUGCCUACAAGACAUCAGUAUGACAUAUGAAGAAUCAUCCUUGUCACAUGUUACCUAAACUUCUUAUUAGAAAAAUUCAAUCCCGGUGUAAAUUGGGCCUAAUGAAAGAUUGCAGUUAACAUUUGAAGAAUUAGAAACAGCUUUAAUGCUUAUGCAAGUUUCAGAGAAAUGUACUUACCUUAUUCUCAUAAUCAAUUUUACUUAUUGAAUUUCCUUCCUUUCUAUGUAAUUUUGAUUGACAAGAGUCACACCUGUGAAGUUAUCUACAUGAUAACCCACAAUGCAUUCACCACAGUGGGUAUAUUUUGAGGAAGACUACUUACUCUUUCUUCCCUACCUGUUCCAGUUUUUCUGCUUGCAUUCAAUAGCUAAGCUAGGAUCCCUUUGCCUGCACUCCUGUUGCCAUACAGAUUAGUUAUUAGAAUAGAAAUUGCAAUAAAUACCUAUACUCAAUUA